rnacentral:rRNA from 1 species
UGGCGCCUACGGGGGGCAGCAGUGGGGAAUAUUGGGCAAUGGGCGCAAGCCUGACCCAGCAACGCCGCGUGAAGGAAGAAGGCUUUCGGGUUGUAAACUUCUUUUAUCAGGGACGAAGCAAGUGACGGUACCUGAUGAAUAAGCCACGGCUAACUACGUGCCAGCAGCCGCGGUAAUACGUAGGUGGCAAGCGUUAUCCGGAUUUACUGGGUGUAAAGGGCGUGUAGGCGGGGGUGCAAGUCAGAUGGGAAAACUUUGGGCUCAA